GGCUCGGUAGCUUAGUUGGUAAAGCACUUGUCUAGCGACGAAUAAGGGGCGUGAGUUCAAAUCUCACCUGAGCUG
rfam:Aedes albopictus isolate Foshan contig125909, whole genome shotgun sequence.